rnacentral:tRNA from 1 species
GAGGGUAUAGCUCAGUGGUAGGGUACUUGCCUAGCAUGCAUGAGGUCCUGGCUUCAAUCCCCAGGACUUCCA